GGAAAGCCCGGAAGGAAGGAAGGAAGCCCGGAGGGAUGGGGCGGGGCCGGGGGCUCCCCGCUCCCCACGUGGGCAGGUGCGGGGCGCACUCGAGGCCCGGGGGGCCUCGGUGAAGGGUAGAGGGAACCCGCUCCGGAUGAAGGGUGUUUCAAGGCGUUUUCUUUCCAGCCAAGUUCUACUCGGUGAAAGCAGACCCGCAAGGGUCCGGGCCCGACGCGCGGGCAGGAAAAACAGAAUGAAGAAAACUGUUCUCAUCUGCAAAAAAGACAAAAAAAAGCAAUGAGCUCUAUCUGUCCAUAUUUGCUUUUAUAACUUUCCACCUGAUGUCAAAUAAUUUUACUUCUGCCACUUCACAAUAGUUCGUAAGCUGCAUCCUUUUCAAUACUUCCAAUCUUUUGACACUUCAGCUCUUCUUGAAGGAGUACAUUUCAGCUAUGGACAGCUUCUGGCCAAUACAGGUGUUUCUAAUAUAAGAAAUACCUCUUCCCUCCCUCCCUGCCAAGGGCUUAUCUUACCUUCUAUUUCCUUUUAUGGGACCCUGUGUGGACCUUGUAUUUUUCAGACACUUCAGGAACAAUUUGAGUGUAACAUCAUGCCUUUUGAACUGAUUUUUGCCCCUCCAAUAUUUUAGUGAUUACUGAAUGCAGUCAUGACUUGGGAAUAAGAGGGAGUCCCUUGUACAUAAAAUAAGUCUUGUGGAAAGAGUAUGUAAAUAGAUCCAUAAAAAAUGGAUGUUGUACAACCUUGGAAGUUACCAAGGAUCAUUGUGGCCAUUCAGCAAUACCUGUUAUUUGCUACAUCACUUCACCCUAAUCUUUUCUGGUCUGAUCCCAUAACUCAUGAUAUAUACUCCAGGACUCAAAGAUUUUUCACUGGACCCCAACCAUCAAGAAGCCUUUUAGGUAAGCAGAAAGAUGAUUCAAAAUGGCACUGAUGCUAGUCCAUAAAAGCCUUUUGUUGUGGAAAUAAAUAUCCCUAAUAUGCCAGUAGGGGUUAUUCUCUUCAUAACUCUUCCCUUUGGUAUUCAACCUCUUUGCAUAUUUGUUUAUACAUGAGCUAUCUGCAGCACCCCAAACUUUGCAACUUUGGGUGAGAAACUUCAGGAAAAGAUAUGCUGACCGCGAAGACGACUUUUGAGACCUGGCAUUUUCACUUGCAAAGGACCUUUGCUAUAAUUUUGCUCCAUCUUAAGAAAUAGGAGCACUUCUAACCAGGCCAAAUGACAACCAGAUAAAGAGGACUUCUCUUGAGCCAAUUCACUUGCUCCAUAGUAUACGUCCCUGGUCUCCACCAUGAACAAACAUCCUCCAACGUGGAAGACAAAACAUUUACCAUCACCACCACUGUCCCCUGCCCUCUAGACAAGCAGUUGCUCAGAAAAUUUUACAACCAGUUUCUUCAAGUUGAUCUGACAAAAGGCAUGAGAUUCUUACUCUCAGAUGUAACUUUUAAUCAUUUAAGGGAAGACCUUGCUAAGUGGGUGUAUCUGAUGACUUUUCAAAACAUCUGCCUUCUGUGUCUUCAGUCUUGCCCCCACGUUGGGUGAAGGAACUCAAUUGGUUUUAUUUUUUUGUUACACCUUGUAGACUGCCUCCAGGUUAAGGUUUAUUUCUGUAUAACAAUUCUCAAAUCUGGUGGUCUGCUAGAAAAACCGACAGGACACUAGAGAUAUAACUUGACUCUUAGACUUUGUAUCACCAGAAUGACUGAUUAUCAUUUCUGUCCAUCAUAGAGAGCUGCUGUAAUAACUUAAUCCAUACUUUACACCUUGAACACUAUUUUUUAUUCAGAAUAUGGUUUUUGCCUUUAUUUUGUUUUUACAUAGCACAGUCCCAUCUCAUCUCACUUUUUCUGCAGCACCAGCAAUAAAUAACUUUUUGGAGGAACCUAGAGGGAUCACAGGCUAAUUUACAAGAUAAAUUACACAUACUUUAAAAAGCCCACAACAGUUCUUUGGAAGUGGGAAAUUAGAUCUGAUUGAGAACCUAGACCCUACCAACAGACAAUCAGAAACUGACUGAUCUAACAAUAGGACCUUUCCCUAUUGUUCAAGUAGCAAGGCUCAUAUUUUACCAGCCACUGCCCCUCUCGUCCAUGCCUAUUUACAUUGUGUUCCUUUGAUCUCUGUUCAGCAGCAUGUAUGCUGCACCACAAAAGCCUCUGGACUGACUGGUGAAAGAACUAAAAGUAGUCGUUGAUAUUUCUAGAUUCAAGAAGCACCUCUGGGAUUUGGUCAUGGGAAGAAGUAGAGUAGAGGAAGGAUUCUGAGUGUCAGCUUACCACCUCAUUCCCCAAAGUGAAGGGUUUCUCCAAGACUGUCUCACCAAACCUGUGUCAUGAGCAAGGAAGGCUUCCUGAGCAGAGGAGUUAUAUCUUUGGUCCCAUGGGUUUAAAUGACAAAAGGGGGCUGCUCAGAAAGUAUUUGAGCUGCUAGGCCCGCCCCCACCACCAAUAGCUUAUGGAAGUUAAGGAGGGCAAUGACAACAUGAGAAGUUCCCUGUUUUGAUGAACUGUGAGAAUGGGAUCAUUGAGGUAACAACUGGGACUAAAAUUAUCUUGUACCUCUGCAGUCUUUGAGUGUGAUAGAUUACAUUCUCAUUCCUUGAAAAAUCACUUUAAUGCUGGCAUUAAACACUUGGCAUCGACUAAAACCUUGGGGGGGGGGGGUCAAUUUUACUUCUACUCUUACUGGGAAUCACCUAUUUUUACUCUUCCAUGUUUUAAAUGACCUUCUGUCUCUGGUACUUUCUAACUAAACUGGCCUGUCCUUUUAAUUUAUAAUUGGCAGGUGCUCUAUAGUCCUGGACAUUUCUGUGCUGGAACAUUCCCAUUUCCUUUCCCUUAUAAGAACAAGAUCAAGACAGGGUUUGAUCUAAACAAGAACCUUGGUUUGUUUUCUUACUUGGGUUCUGGAAUUCAUGGAAUAGUAGCACUUAAAAAUAAAGCAAGAUUGUCCUAUCCCAACUAAAUUCUCACAAGUGUAAGGUCAGAGUCAGGCUGUAUAAACAACUUUAAUCCUAUUCACACUUGACCAGGUCAGUGUUUGGGUGAAAUGAAAAGUAAGUCUCAACAGUGCUACUGGGCUGAAAACCCAGGGUGGUUGGUAUAGAUCUGAUGGUCAAGGAUCACCAAGGCCCACUUUAGGAAUGCAAGUUAGUGUUCUGAAGAGGUCAUUUAGGAGGAAACAACCCAUAAAAUCUGUCUUAAUUACCUACUCAGGUGUGGAGUUUUCCAUCUGGAGGAAAAAACGGCCAGAACAUACCGAGUUGAGGGUCUGAGAUUGUAAAUCACAGAAGUCAUCUUGACUAUGAUAGAACCAUUCACCCACCCAGGAUAAGUAGGUAGCAAAUUGAUAUUUUACAUUAAAAGUAAUAUCUUUUAACAAAACACGUUUCAAUGAAUUUUUGGUGUUUUUUUUUUUAAGUGAGGACAAGGAUGGUUAUAGCUAUUUUUACUCUUAAAUUUUUAAAUAUGCAAAUUUCAUAUAAAAAAUAUAAGAAUAUAAGACAAAAUACAAGAAUACAACAUUCCAGAGAAACUUGGAGUUAUCAUAUAUCAAUUCUUAAUUAAUUCUAUCCCCUACCUGCUGAAAAGAAGUUUAGUGUGGGGCAGCCUUGGAUGAGAUCUGGUGUCAGUCAUGUCUUUGAUGAUAACUAUGAUUGGGAGCAGGUCAUUUAACCUUAGAGCAAUUCCUUAUGAUAGGAAGUUAAAGAUGAGGUGGUUAUAGUCUGUGUAAGUAUGCUUUUCAUUGUUUUUUUUCACUAUGUAACACUUCAUUAGAGUCUUACCAUUUGGAUUUUUUUUUUUUUUUUUAAACCUGUUUAUUAUAAAUGGUAGUCAGAGUGGUUAAUGGAUGCAACCAUUCUGACUGGUCUUGAAUUCAAGGCCAAAGUUCAAAUCCUGCAAAUUUAUACAGCUUAAAGGAUGACAAAAGGAAAAUGUUAAUAGAAAAAUUAAGCUUACUCAUAACAAAAUUGAAUUUCCAGUAAGAAGGAAGGUAGGGAAGAGAUCAAGAAGCAAUAUCCAUUGCUUGUUCUAAAGUCCUGUGUCUAUAUUUAAACCAAGAAACUAUUCUAAAAUAUACCAUGAUAAUUGAUGUAAUAUGAUUUUGUGAUCUCUUGAUUUUAGGAGGAGGGUUUCUGUUCUAACAGUAAGUCAGGAAAUCCUAAAUCAUCUGGUUUUGGGAGUCUCCUCGGACUUCCCUCACUUCCAAUCUAAAAACAACAUAUCUAUCUGAUUUUGAAUAGACCACUCCUCAAUUCAGUGCUGACUGUGUGAUAGCUUCUGGCCUCAGGAUAAUCCCAUGGACCAAAUUCCUGAGAUAAUAGUGAUAAUCUGUUGGUCAAUGAGAACCAAAUUACUUCCUACCUAUGAGCCAUAGAAUUAGCAUAUCAAUGCUGGAUAAAUGUGUCUUCUUGCUUUUUCUCUGCUGGAUUCUCUUAGAAUUCUUGUAAUGAAUUAUUACAAUAAAGUUUUGCUCCUUGGCUAAGCAUAUGGGGUCUGCAAGCCUGCAAAUUUUUCUGAGACACCUGGAAAUACCGAUCUAGGAUCCCAAACUUUUCCUCUUUUCCCAAUCUCAAUAAUGUCUUAAAAUUUCAGUAUUUGUAAUGAUGUUACCUGAUAAAAUAGAAUUAAAACUAGAAAAUAUUAGGUAAGUAUUAUACAAUGGUAAAGGGAAAAAUAAACUAAUUUUUCAUAUGCAUCAAAUUAUUCAAUUAAUUUCAUUAAAGAAAAACUAAUAG
ensembl:lncRNA